rnacentral:rRNA from 1 species
AACUCUGGUAUUGAUUGGUGCUUGCAUCAUGAUUUACAUUUGAGUGAGUGGCGAACUGGUGAGUAACACGUGGGAAACCUGCCCAGAAGCGGGGGAUAACACCUGGAAACAGAUGCUAAUACCGCAUAACAACUUGGACCGCAUGGUCCGAGUUUGAAAGAUGGCUUCGGCUAUCACUUUUGGAUGGUCCCGCGGCGUAUUAGCUAGAUGGUGGGGUAACGGCUCACCAUGGCAAUGAUACGUAGCCGACCUGAGAGGGUAAUCGGCCACAUUGGGACUGAGACACGGCCCAAACUCCUACGGGAGGCAGCAGUAGGGAAUCUUCCACAAUGGACGAAAGUCUGAUGGAGCAACGCCGCGUGAGUGAAGAAGGGUUUCGGCUCGUAAAACUCUGUUGUUAAAGAAGAACAUAUCUGAGAGUAACUGUUCAGGUAUUGACGGUAUUUAACCAGAAAGCCACGGCUAACUACGUGCCAGCAGCCGCGGUAAUACGUAGGUGGCAAGCGUUGUCCGGAUUUAUUGGGCGUAAAGCGAGCGCAGGCGGUUUUUUAAGUCUGAUGUGAAAGCCUUCGGCUCAACCGAAGAAGUGCAUCGGAAACUGGGAAACUUGA